rnacentral:rRNA from 1 species
UACGAAGGGUGCAAACGUUGCUCGGAAUCAUUGGGCGUAAAGCGCACGUAGGCGGCUUGCCAAGUCGGACGUGAAAUCCCUCAGCUCAACUGAGGACGUGCAUCCGAAACUGGCGAGCUUGAGUGCUGAAGAGGAUCGCGGAAUUCCCGGUGUAGAGGUGAAAUUCGUAGAUAUCGGGAGGAACACCGGUGGCGAAGGCGGCGACCUGGGUAGAUACUGACGCUGAGGUGCGAAAGCGUGGGGAGCAAACAGG